GUCAUUUUUUUUUUUUCCGAUCAGAAGGGAAACUCUUCCUGAGAGUGACUUUGCUCAUCUAGCUGACAGCAGUCCUGACUCCUCAUUUAGCUGUACCCCAGGCCUCUCAGGGAUGCUCCUCCCACCAGGCUUUAUCUGCGAUGUAUCUCCAAACGAGUGCGAUGUGGAUGAAGGACAGGAGUCUAGAGUGAUCGCCACCAAACCUGGCUGCAGAGCCUGUCACAAAAGGCAGGAGGGUCCACUGAAAUCCUUGGUAGAAUCCUGAGAUCGGCUUCUGUGUUUGGUUUGCCUUUGUUCAGCUGUGGAUGGCACAAUGAGACCCUUUUUGCUCUUCCUGCUGCAUCUGAGCCUGUGAUACCCUCCUCUGCAGAAAAAAUUAUGGAUUUGAUGGAGCAGCCAGGUAACACUGUUUCGUCUGGUCAAGAGGAUUUCCCAUCUGUCCUGCUUGAAACUGCUGCCUCUCUUCCUUCUCUAUCUCCUCUCUCAACUGUUUCUUUUAAAGAACAUGGA
rnacentral:lncRNA from 1 species